GAUGAACGCUGGCGGCAGGCUUAACACAUGCAAGUCGAACGCCCCGCAAGGGGAGUGGCAGACGGGUGAGUAACGCGUGGGAACGUGCCCUUCGCUUCGGAAUAGCCCCGGGAAACUGGGAGUAAUACCGAAUACGCCGUAUUGGGAAAGAUUUAUCGGCGAAGGAUCGGCCCGCGUUAGAUUAGCUAGUUGGCGGUGUAAUGGACCACCAAGGCUACGAUCUAUAGCUGGUCUGAGAGGAUGAUCAGCCACACUGGGACUGAGACACGGCCCAGACUCCUACGGGAGGCAGCAGUGGGGAAUCUUGGACAAUGGGCGCGAGCCUGAUCCAGCCAUGCCGCGUGAGUGAAGAAGGCCUUAGGGUUGUAAAACUCUUUCGCCGGAGAAGAUAAUGACGGUAUCCGGAGUAGAAGCCCCGGCUAACUUCGUGCCAGCCGCCGCCGUAA
rnacentral:rRNA from 1 species